GACGAACGCUGGCGGCGUGCUUAACACAUGCAAGUCGAACGGAAAGGCCCUGCUUGCAGGGUACUCGAGUGGCGAACGGGUGAGUAACACGUGGGUGAUCUGCCCUGCACUUCGGGAUAAGCCUGGGAAACGGGGUCUAAUACCGGAUAGGAGCCAUUUUGAGUGUGAUGGUUGGAAAGUUUUUUCGGUUUAGGAUGAGCUCGCGGCCGCUCAGCUUGUUGGUGGGGUAAUGGCCUACCAAGGCGGCGACGGGUAGCCGGCCUGGGAGGGUGGACGGCCACAUUGAGACUGGGACACGGCCCAGACCCCUACGGGAGGCAGCAGUGGGGAAGGUUGAUCAAUGGGCGCAAGCCUGAUGCAGCGACGCCGCGUGGGGGAUGACGGCCUUCGGGUUGUAAACGCCUUUCGCUAGGGACGAAGCUGUUUGUGACGGUACCUAGAGAAGAAGCACCGGCUAACUACGUG
rnacentral:rRNA from 1 species